GACAGGCGUGGACAGUAAUGCCUGUGUGAUUGGGCUGCGCCGGGUGAUGAUUUUAAUAAACACACACGCGAGGGGGCCACAGGUCAACGGUGUUUGGAUUCAUCAGCCGCACAGCAGGGCUCCCGAGGCCAUAAGAUGCAGCUGAGUUCAGGCUCCAGCACCACAGGCGCUGCACUGCAGGUGUGUAACGGGGAAGGUGACCCAGCCAUGCAGGAAGAGAAGUCGUGGAUUUUGUCUUCAUUUUGUUUGUCAGAGAAAAUAUACAGAAAUUUACAGAUUUUAUUUUUAAAAAAUCCUCUGUAGUUACAUAAUGUUGUAUAGAAAUGUAGUCAAAUCUUUGUUGUAAAAAA